rnacentral:rRNA from 1 species
AAUGAACGCUGGCGGCAGGCCUAACACAUGCAAGUCGAACGAGUGGCGGACGGGUGGGUAAUGUCUGGGAAACUGCCUGAUGGAAGGGGAUGAGUACUAUAAACGGUAGCUAAUACCGCAUAACAUCAGAUGUGCCCUGCUGGGAUUAGCUUGUUGGUGUGGUAACGGCUCACCAAGGCGACGAUCCCUAGCUGGCCUGAGAGGGAGACCGGCCACACUGGGACUGAGACACGGCCCAGACUCCUACGGGAGGCAGCAGUGGGGAAUCUUGGGCAAUGGGCGAAAGCCUGACCCAGCAAUGCCGCGUGUAUGAAGAAGGCCUUCGGAUCGUAAAGCACUGUUAGUGGGGAGGCGUUACCUGAAGAAGAAGCACCGGCUAACUCCGUGCCAGCAGCCGCGGUAAUUC